ensembl:lncRNA
CUCAGAUACACAUACCCGGUGCUGUGAUGACAACUGUCGUCAGUGAUUUUGUACCUCACAAAGACUCUUUGAUCAAGAAAACAGCGUAUUUAUCGUUGGCAGCCAAUGCUUACAUCAGAGGCUGUUGACAUGAACGUAGACCCAUCAAGGACUUCCUGGGACAACGAUGCUACUCUUUUCCUAAUGCAGUGGAUGUUGAAGAGUCCUAUAAAUCCACCACAAAGUGGAAUGGAUCCCGGCAUGGCUCAUGUUCCAGCAUCGGACCUGCACUGCAAUUUUAGUUCUCAAACGCAGCAUCACAUCAGGGACCAUCAGCGGGGCGUUGCAGUUUGGGCUCCGGACAGAAGAGGGGGCACUUCGGAUGGCCAGAAGGAAAAGCUCGGCCAGAUGUGGACCAGCUGCAGCCCCAGAGCGCCUCCUGCUCCAGGGCCCCGUGCUACCGACCGCAGUAUGGAGCGAGCAGGGGGCUUGCUGGAGAUAGGAAUCCCAAGGACGGCGUGCUGGGAGCGAGAUACGCGGUUAAUAUUUCUGCUCCACUCCAAAGGUGGCUGAGACGGUAUAGAUUUAAUGCUCGAUACUUGCUCUGGAGCCUCCAUGCUGUUUAAAUCUGCACUAUGGAAGGUUGUGGCUUAUUCAGUCAAGGUUGUAUCUUGUAAACCACCCGAGGAACAAAUUCCAUGCAAGGUUGCCUGCGUGCAAAUAUGAUUUUUGACACAAACUGCUGGAUUCCCUGACGUUUCUACUUCUACCUCAGGUAAAUUUGUAUCGGCUGCACUGAACAAGCAAAAAUGCUUCCACACUGUAAAACACUCCCAUAACAUUGAUUCAAGAUUGAUCACUUGCACGAGGUAGUUCAGAGAGUAGUUAUAGCUGCGCAAAACCUUUUAUUCAGGGUUAGAAUUUGACCUAGCGUGAUAACCAGGCAAUAAAAUGGGAGUCGGCUGUCAAUUUCAGGAGAAAUAAGGCAUCACCAGAGCUUAAAGAUCUGCUUCAUAACAUUUCUAUCAAAUAAAUCACAUCUCCUGAGUGGAUAUUUCCACAAUUCUUGACAAGGAAGAAAGAAAAUAUUGUCUUUGCCUAGAUCUGGUGAAGUGAAAUAAAGCUGUAAUGAUUGCUAGCCAACCACAUCUACACACAGAAUUAAUGCAAGCACUCAGUGUGCAGAGAUGUUUUAAAAUCUUGAUUUACAGUCUGUGUUUUGUAAAUUAACAGAAUCCUCACAGCCCUCACAUGAUCUUCAUCGACCAAUUCUGUGUUUGAAACACAUGCCAUAUGUUUGAAACUGACCCUAAUGCUUCUGAAGAAAGGAGUGGUUGGUGUUUUCAGGAAGCAGCCUGGAAUCCAGUGCUAGCUGGUGAGUCAUUAAAUAAGGAGAAUAACAUUUACAGGACGUAAUACAAUAUAUCAGUUUAGCAGAACUGAAAUUUAACUUUCUCAAAUGCCACUUCAGAUAAACAGAAUGUAGUCUUUCUCCACUGGAACUGGACCAGGUGCAGAAUAAGCUGCUAUAAUUAUGCCUGCCCUACCAUGAGGACCAUUGCAAGUAUUUUAAUCUUUCUUAUUUCUUACAUUACACUAUGAAAACUUCAUUGAAAAAUACAUUUCAACUGUAAAGCUGUUUGAAGUAUGAAGUCUAAAGUGUAUCUUGAACAAAUGUUGCAGAUCUUCAUUCUGAAUUGGUAAAAACUGUAAGUAUGAGAUGUCAGAAUUUAUACUGUUGUGCUAUUUUAUUGUUACUCAGUGAGGUAGAAACACAUCAGGAUAGGGUCUAGAGGCCAAGUUUAUCCAAAUAUAUGAGGUCAACUCUGAGAAGACUGUUAUGGACUCUGGAAGAACAAUUACAGAAACUGUAAAAGUAUUCUAUCCUUGGAAAAGAAGUACUGGUCUGUAUAGGAGUAAUAGGAAAAAGAUAACACUGUCUUGUGGCUAUAAAUUCAGCUUCAUAAGGAUAAUUUCCUUUGCCUAUCCAUGUACAGCUAACAAUGAAAAGACUUAGAGAAGCGCGAAGUAAUAUUUUCUUUUAUGUGUGACACAGAAAACAAAGCAGAACAUAAAAAUGUGACGCUUGAGUGCUUGUUUUCCUCAUUUUUAUUUUCUCCAAAUACUCUAAAUACUCACGGGUACAGUCUUCUACUAUGGAAACUGAUGAAGAAAUCAGAUAUGUAUUUGCUGCAGUUUUAGAAAAAUAAUAUAAAUCUACUUGUUUAGUUUGUCUUGUUCAACAGAAAUUACAUGGCGUCCUGACAGCAAAAUAGACUAAUAAUCAUAACAAAUCUAAUUCAUCCCUGUUCUAUUUUGAACUAGAGUGAACUUUCUCUGCAAGACAUGGGAACAACUCACAGAUCUAUUAUUCUGGAAGAAUUAUAGGCAGAAUCAAUACACGUUGCUCAUGACACACAUCAGUGGGUUGUCAUAACAGUGAUUAUAGCUUCUCCAUCAGUAGACAGAGUGAAUACUCAGGCUACUCUGAAAGUUUUUAUCACAUGACAAAACAAAGUGAGUUUUCCAGGCCUACCUCACCCUAUCUUCUUAUUUAAGUAAAUGUAGAAAAAGCUUACAAUGAACAUUAUAGACCCAUUUACUAUUGUGGCAGUGUCAAGCUAAUAGAUUUUUCAGUAAAUGGCCAGAAGUAAAAGUAGCCUCUAUUGGGUCUGUCUACUUUGGUCAUGACUUUCUGUUUAUUGUUUUCAGCAGAAAAAGAAGCUCAGAAAACUAAUGUCCAGUAACAUAUGACAAUUCAUAUCUUUACAAUUUCAAUAUUUUUCCUGGGGAAAAGAGGAGGCAUUGUACAUACGCAACAAUCAGCACACUAUCCUCUAGGCUAACGAAGGACUGAACGCUACAAUAAAGCUUUGAAAGAAAGGUUAGAGGUGGCUAAACUGAAAGGGAAAAUCUGGGAAAACAGUCACUUCAAGUUUCUUUUAAAAAUAAAAAGGAGACAUGGUGCAGCAAAACUGAGGGAGAUUUUAAAUCAGGAGGAAAAUGUUGUUCUGUUGUAAGCACUUAGGAUGGAAGUACCAGUCUGGUAGGAUUUGAGUAAACCAUUCAGUGGAAACAGCAAAAAUGAGAAAUGUUAGGUUAGUUUUGCACUACCAAGGAUUGGCAGUGUGCAAGGAGUCUGUGAGAAAACAAAAACCCAUUGUAUGGGAUAAUCAUAGUUUACCUCUCAGUACUGUCUGAAGGAGAAAAGAGCCCUAUAUUUCCAGUGAAUGAUAGAUAAAAAGAUUUUUUUUCACUCUGCUUGUGUCUUACCUGCAGCAACUUGGACAUGUUUUAGCACGUCCACCUGUAACUGUAUGCUUUGUGUUACUCCUUCUGGUGUAGGAUGCACAAAAGGAGUAAGAGGAUGAGCAUCCAGCCAAGACUACAGAAUCACCUGCAUGAGCUAGAAACAGAGACAUCCUCUACUCUGUGAUCCUAAAGAAUUUGUUAGGGGGAAUUACUUAGUUCUAUGUCAGCUUGUCAGUUUGUUUCUUAGUUACUUGGCUACUUAUUUCCUGAAUAUGAAUUCUAGGAUGUCAGUUACUUCUUUAC